rnacentral:rRNA from 1 species
GACGAACGCUGGCGGCGUGCCUAAUACAUGCAAGUAGAACGCACAGUUUAUACCGUAGCUUGCUACACCAUAGACUGUGAGUUGCGAACGGGUGAGUAACGCGUAGGUAACCUGCCUGGUAGCGGGGGAUAACUAUUGGAAACGAUAGCUAAUACCGCAUAAUAUUGAUUAUUGCAUGAUAAUUGAUUGAAAGAUGCUAUUGCAUCACUACCAGAUGGACCUGCGUUGUAUUAGCUAGUAGGUGAGGUAACGGCUCACCUAGACGACGAUACAUAGCCGACCUGAGAGGGUGAUCGGCCACACUGGGACUGAGACACGGCCCAGACUCCUACGGGAGGCAGCAGUAGGGAAUCUUCGGCAAUGGACGAAAGUCUGACCGAGCAACGCCGCGUGAGUGAAGAAGGUUUUCGGAUCGUAAAGCUCGGUUGUAAGAGAAGAACGGGUGUGAGAGUGGAAAGUUCACACUGUGACGGUAUCUUACCAGAAAGGGACGGCUAACUACGUG